rnacentral:lncRNA from 1 species
UCUUUGAUAAUAGAGUCCUUAUCCUUAAUCAGUUUUUCAGUUUUAUGACUGUAAGAUUGAUUAGUUAGCUUCAAUUCUUUGUUUUUAAAGAUUAUUGUCCUAUAUUCAUCCAUUAGUUCAUUAAAAGCAUCAUACAAUUUUUCAAAGGUAAAAUCUAAAUGAUUUUCAAUACUUACCUCAUCCUUGUUGGCCAUAAGACAUAUGUUGGCCUUCUCUUCUUAUUCUUCUUCUGAUGAUGAGUUGUCGGAUUCUGUCCAAGUAGUGAAGAGGGCUUUCUUCUUCUUGAAUCUGCCCCUUUUUUUCAAUAUGGGGCAGUCGGCUCUGAAAUGACCCAGCUUCUUGCACUCAUAGCAUCUGAUUCUCUCACUUUCCUUCUUCUUACCCUUGUCCUUGUCGAAGGAGCUUGAAGGGAACCUUUUCUUGUGGAAGGUUUUCUUUCUAUUAAUGAACUUCCUAAAUUUCCUCACAAGAAGUGCCUCUUCUUCAUCCUCCU